CCUCUCUCCAAUCCAAUCAAUUCACAUACGUAUCUCAGUUUUCAUUUGCUUCACUACUGUAUUCCCUUCAACAUGUGCGAUCCAGCCACCAGAAAAUUCUCCCCACGCUCGCUUGAGUAGCAGCGCUCGACUCCCUGCUCGUCGGCCACCAGGACGACAUCUCCACGCGCCGAGUUCCUCCCAUGGCUAUCCCAAACCCUAGCCGAGAUCCCCUCCUGUGUCGGCCACUAUCUCCUUCACCAGGCGCUCUCCUCCACCUACAGCUCGCCCCAUCUCCUCCUCUCCCCAUGGCGGCUCCCCUCGGAUCCCUCCCUCCAUGGCUACCGUCGCCCCCAAGCCCGCGGUCUUGCCGAGCUCGCCCAACCCUUCCCCAUCUUCUCUCCACCUCUCUGAUGAUCAGCGCCCUUACCCCAUGGUGCCAGAGACGCCACCCUCUCCUAACGGCAUGCUCCCAGCGCCUCCUCCCCACGCUCGUCUUGGCAUGGAGGUCAACCAUGGGAUGCAUCACACCAACCUCACCGGCCAUACCCCCUGCUCCUCCCCACCGUCCGCAGCCCCAACGUCAUCGCCGUGUUUAGUCAUGAGAGAAAGGUUCUAAGGUUUGGUUGGAAAAGAAAGCUAUAGCACGUCGACCACCAGGUGUUUGAUGAAUUAGAUGAAUCAACGCUUGUUGCGGUUAUUGUGAAGUUUCGGUUCAUAUGAGCUUUUGGAGGUACGCUAGAUGAUUAUGCGAGCUGAAGGACAUGGAUCAGAGCGAACCAUAAGAUGAUAUUGGUGGAUUAAUCUUGUGGAUGCAUCAAGCCAACACCAGAAUGGAAGAUGCUCACCAAGUGGUCGUCAAUUAACAACACUAACGUAGUGUUUAUCCCAGGCAAGCCCCGGUGCAUUUGCCACCUCCUUGUUGUUUUUAAAACUUUUAUCACUUAUAUGUUGCAUUAGGUGAUAAGAGUUGAGUGAUGAAACAGUUGAUGCAUUGCCAUUCCUUGGAAUUUGAUUAUCUUCCUUGAUACCUGUUUUACAAAAAGAACUAAUGAGGCUUAGCCCUGCCUAGAGAAUUAAAACUUGUUUCUUUUUAAAAGAAUGAUGUGUGACA